GGAAUAUUGGACAAUGGGCGCAAGCCUGAUCCAGCCAUGCCGCGUGAGUGAUGAAGGCCUUAGGGUUGUAAAGCUCUUUUGUCCGGGACGAUAAUGACGGUACCGGAAGAAUAAGCCCCGGCUAACUUCGUGCCAGCAGCCGCGGUAAUACGAAGGGGGCUAGCGUUGCUCGGAAUCACUGGGCGUAAAGGGCGCGUAGGCGGCCAUUCAAGUCGGGGGUGAAAGCCUGUGGCUCAACCACAGAAUUGCCUUCGAUACUGUUUGGCUUGAGUUUGGUAGAGGUUGGUGGAACUGCGAGUGUAGAGGUGAAAUUCGUAGAUAUUCGCAAGAACACCAGUGGCGAAGGCGGCCAACUGGACCAACACUGACGCUGAGGCGCGAAAGCGUGGGGAGCAAACAGGAUUAGAUACCCUGG
rnacentral:rRNA from 1 species